rnacentral:tRNA from 1 species
GCGCCUGUAGCUCAGUCGGUAGAGCACGAGACUUUUAAUCUUGGGGUCGUGGGUUCGAGCCCCACCGGGCGCACCA